GGAGGGAUGGCAGAGCGGUUUAAUGCAGCGGUCUUGAAAACCGCCAAGGGUCAAACCUUCAGGGGUUCGAAUCCCCUUCCCUCCGCCA
rnacentral:tRNA from 1 species